CCUGGCUCAGGAUGACCCUUGGCGGCGUGCUUAACACAUGCAAGUCGAACGAAGCACUUAGGACAGAUUACUUCGGUUUGAAGUUCUAUUUGACUGAGUGGCGGACGGGUGAGUAACGCGUGGGUAACCUGCCUCAUACAGGGGGAUAACAGUUAGAAAUGACUGCUAAUACCGCAUAAGCGCACAGGACCGCAUGGUCCGGUGUGAAAAACUCCGGUGGUAUGAGAUGGACCCGCGUCUGAUUAGCUGGUUGGUGAGGUAACGGCCCACCAAGGCGACGAUCAGUAGCCGGCCUGAGAGGGUGAACGGCCACAUUGGGACUGAGACACGGCCCAAACUCCUACGGGAGGCAGCAGUGGGGAAUAUUGCACAAUGGGGGAAACCCCUGAUGCAGCGACGCCGCGUGAAGGAAGAAGUAUUUCGGUAUGUAAACUUCUAUCAGCAGGGAAGAAAAUGACGGUACCUGACUAAGAAGCCCCGGCUAACUACGUGCCAGCAGCCGCGGUAAUACGUAGGGGGCAAGCGUUAUCCGGAUUUACUGGGUGUAAAGGGAGCGUAGGCGGUUUAGCAAGUCAGAAGUGAAAGCCCGGGGCUCAACUCCGGGACUGCUUUUGAAACUGUUGAACUAGAUCGCAGGAGAGGUAAGUGGAAUUCCUAGUGUAGCGGUGAAAUGCGUAGAUAUUAGGAGGAACACCAGUGGCGAAGGCGGCUUACUGGACUGUAAAUGACGCUGAGGCUCGAAAGCGUGGGGAGCAAACAAGAUUAGAUACCCUGGUAGUCCACGCCGUAAACGAUGAAAAAGGGGUGUCAGGGGAGCAAAGCUCUUGGGGGCCGCAGCAAACGCGAGUAAGUAUUCCACCUGGGGAGUACGUUCGCAAGAAUGAACUUCAAAGGGAAUUGACGGGGGACCCGCACAAGCGGUGGAGCAUGUGGUUUAAUUAGAAGCAACGCGAAGAACCUUACCAAGUCUUGACAUCCCUCUGACCGGCAGGUAAUGCUGCCUUCCCUUCGGGGCAGGGGAGACAGGUGGUGCAUGGUUGUCGUCAGCUCGUGUCGUGAGAUGUUGGGUUAAGUCCCGCAACGAGCGCAACCCUUAUCUUUAGUAGCCAGCGAGUAAAGUCGGGCACUCUAGAGAGACUGCCAGGGAUAACCUGGAGGAAGGUGGGGAUGACGUCAAAUCAUCAUGCCCCUUAUGAUUUGGGCUACACACGUGCUACAAUGGCGUAAACAAAGGGAAGCGAGCGUGUGAAUGUAAGCAAAUCUCAAAAAUAACGUCUCAGUUCGGAUUGUAGUCUGCAACUAGACUACAUGAAGCUGGAAUCGCUAGUAAUCGCGAAUCAGCAUGUCGCGGUGAAUACGUUCCCGG
rnacentral:rRNA from 1 species